rnacentral:ncRNA from 2 species
GCGUCGUCGAAGGGGUGCCAUACUAUAUGGGCUGAGAUCAUACCCUUACUACUUGAUGCGGGUAAUGCCGCCGUAAGAAAAACGAAUGUUAGAUGGAU